AACGGACGAGAAGCUUGCUUCUCUGAUGUUAGCGGCGGACGGGUGAGUAACACGUGGAUAACCUACCUAUAAGACUGGGAUAACUUCGGGAAACCGGAGCUAAUACCGGAUAAUAUUUUGAACCGCAUGGUUCAAAAGUAAAAGACGGUCUUGCUGUCACUUAUAGAUGGAUCCGCGCUGCAUUAGCUAGUUGGUAAGGUAACGGCUUACCAAGGCAACGAUGCAUAGCCGACCUGAGAGGGUGAUCGGCCACACUGGAACUGAGACACGGUCCAGACUCCUACGGGAGGCAGCAGUAGGGAAUCUUCCGCAAUGGGCGAAAGCCUGACGGAGCAACGCCGCGUGAGUGACGAAGGUCUUCGGAUCGUAAAACUCUGUUAUUAGGGAAGAACAUAUGUGUAAGUAACUGUGCACAUCUUGACGGUACCUAAUCAGAAAGCCACGGCUAACUACGUGCCAGCAGCCGCGCUAAUACGUAGGUGGCAAGCGUUAUCCGGAAUUAUUGGGCGUAAAGCGCGCGUAGGCGGUUUUUUAAGUCUGAUGUGAAAGCCCACGGCUCAACCGUGGAGGGUCAUUGGAAACUGGAAAACUUGAGUGCAGAAGAGGAAAGUGGAAUUCCAUGUGUAGCGGUGAAAUGCGCAGAGAUAUGGAGGACACCAGUGGCGAAGGCGACUUUCUGGUCUGUAACUGACGCUGAUGUGCGAAAGCGUGGGGAUCAAACAGGAUUAG
rnacentral:rRNA from 1 species